rnacentral:lncRNA from 1 species
UAACCCAAGAUAUUAAAGUGGCACUGCGAACAGAACCCAACGAAAACGGUUUAGUUUGCAGAGACGAGAUUGCAAAGGCUGUUAAGGGUCUAAUGGAAGGUGAAGAAGGGAAAGGUGUUCGAAAUAGAAUGAAGGACCUCAAGGAAGCUGCGGCAAAGGCACUUUCUGAAAAUGGGUCUUCCACCAAGGCACUUUCCGAGGUGGCUACUAGGUGGAGGAACCGUACAGCCAUCUAGAUUUUUAUGUUUAAUAUAUGUUUUAUAUAUAAAUUUAUUUUCACUUCUCCUGUAAAUGGUCCAGGCCAUCUGUUUGUAACUACAGCUUAGCUUAG